rnacentral:tRNA from 1 species
UGGGGUUGGGCUCAGUGGAUAGAGCAUGGCACUUGCAACGCCAGGGUUAUGGGUUCCCGAAAUCCCAC